GACUUCAUGGUGUAAAGGUAGCACACUCGGCGCGUAUUCGAGACACCCAGGUUCGAGUCCCGGCGAGGGCU
rnacentral:tRNA from 1 species